rnacentral:misc_RNA from 1 species
CAAAUCUGAACACACACGAUGUGAGAAUAGUAGUACUAUUCCUAGUCAUAUUCUCACCAUCGACAAAACAUUACCUAUUGACACUUGUAUACAUGACAAAUAACCAAAGAAUACCUUUUAACAAUGGAUCUCUUGGCU